rnacentral:rRNA from 1 species
UACGUAGGGUGCGAGCGUUUAAUCGGAAUUACUGGGCGUAAAGCGUGCGCAGGCGGUUUUGUAAGUCAGAUGUGAAAUCCCCGGGCUCAACCUGGGAACUGCGUUUGAAACUACAAGGCUAGAGUGUAGCAGAGGGGGGUAGAAUUCCACGUGUAGCAGUGAAAUGCGUAGAGAUGUGGAGGAAUACCGAUGGCGAAGGCAGCCUCCUGGGCCAACACUGACGCUCAUGCACGAAAGCGUGGGGAGCAAACAGG